UAUACUUUAGUAUAUUAUGUACAAUAGUUUUUGAUACUUUAGGGAAUAGUUUGAGCCUAUUAAGUAUAA
rnacentral:tRNA from 1 species